rnacentral:rRNA from 1 species
UACGUAGGGGGCAAGCGUUGUCCGGAAUCAUUGGGCGUAAAGAGCGUGUAGGCGGCCUGGUAAGUCCGCUGUGAAAGUCCAGGGCUCAACCCUGGAAUGCCGGUGGAAACUGUCAGGCUCGAGUCCGGAAGAGGCGAGUGGAAUUCCUGGUGUAGCGGUGAAAUGCGCAGAUAUCAGGAGGAACACCAAUGGCGAAGGCAGCUCGCUGGGACGGUACUGACGCUGAGACGCGAAAGCGUGGGGAGGCAAA